rnacentral:rRNA from 1 species
ACAUGACAAGUCGAACGGAGCACCCUGAAGAGUUUUCGGACAAUGGAUGGGAAGCUUAGUGGCGGACGGGUGAGUAACGCGUGAGUAACCUGCCUUUCAGAGGGGGAUAACGUUCCGAAAGGAACGCUAAUACCGCAUAACGUAUUUUUACCGCAUGAUAGAAAUACCAAAGAUUUAUCGCUUAUAGAUGAGUUUGCGUCUGAUUAGCUAGUUGGUGUGGUAACGGCAUACCAAGGCGACGAUCAGUAGCCGUGCUGAGAGGCAGAACGGCCACAUUGGGACUGAGAUACGGCCCAGACUCCUACGGGAGGCAGCAGUCGGGAAUAUUGCGCAAUGGAGGAAACUCUGACGCAGUGACGCCGCGUAUAGGAAGAAGGUUUUCGGAUUGUAAACUAUUGUAGACAGGGAAGAUACAAGACAGUACCUGUAAAGUAAGCCCCGGCUAACUAUGUG